AAAAGGUUUGUUUCAGUUUGACCACGAUGGCAUUAAUUUCGGCCCAAAUUCGGAAGGGAUCAACUGUUUUGCUUCCCUGGCAUAUAGUUGGUGGGUUUUCCGAGGGAUGUACUAUGUUAGAACUCUUUCAAUCCAUAAAGAACGGCUCCAUUGACCUCGGGACUUGGGUUUUCCCGGAAAAACUGCGAGAUUUGCCGAUAACAGUUUCUGUUGGAAAAUCAAAGACUGACGCGUUUGACAAUGUGAUGGCAAAUAUGAAUGUUGUCCAAACAGUAUCGUUGUUUGGUCAUUAUGUGAGAUUCAACCUUGUAGAAGAUAAAGACCAAAAGAGAAGCACCGCUUGUGAAAUGCCUCCGGAAUCGGGAACGGAGGAUUCUGGCGCUGAAUCUGAUUUGAAACAAAAAUAAAUCAUUUUCUUCCUUGACAGGCCCAAGCUUCAGGAAUUUUUAGAUCACUGUACAGUGUCCAGGUCCUAUUUCUUCACUAUUCGUAAGUGUGGGAAUCCAGAGUGUCAGAUAUGCCUUCCACCUCGCCUGCCUCCUGAUGUCUUUUCCCAGCUACAUGCAUUUCCAGAUCCAGUUCCAGGAGAGGAUGGACAUUAUAAGGGGUUUGAAGAAGUCUAUGGUACAGAUACCACAGAAGAGUAUCGUCCUUCACUACAGCAAAAAGUGCCAGGGCUUGCUGCAAACAGUCAUGGCAUACCCUUUGCUCCUUCUGCUCAAACUGCAAGAACUGUUGGCAAAACUGUGAAGUGUAUUGCAUGUGAUAAACCAAGAGUCAUUUAUUCUACUCACAAACUUACAACGCAAGACCAAAUGAUUCUGAAACGUGUUUUGGAUCUUUAUCAAUAUUCCUGUGGAUGUGAGCUUCAAGAGCUCAUGCCACAAGAGAGAGAAAGGGCUCCAAAGAUUUCUGCCCUUCUUGAUCGUGUAUUUGUCAGAGCUAAUCUACACUGCACAAGUCCAGUUGAAAUUCCAUAUUUUAGUGCUGGCAUAUUUCCUUCAAUUUGCUUUUACUGCUCAGAUGAAGCAGUUGAGCAAAUUGAAGGGGCAUAUCCCACUUGUGAAAGUUGUAGAGCAAACCAUAUUUUGCCAUUCAAGAGAAAAAAUGUAGAAAAUGCUAGAGAGAAAAGAAAGAAAACUAGAAAGUAAAUGUUUUCAAUUUCAAUGUCCAAUGCACAUAUUGAAGCGCUGUUGUUAAAAGUUCGGAUUUUGAAAAUAAAAU
rnacentral:misc_RNA from 1 species